UGCGUAGGCGGCGCGGUUAGUCGGAUGUGAAAUCGUACAGCUCAACUGUACAACUGCGUCCGAUACUGCCGUGCUUGAGGAAGGCAGAGGUGAGCGGAACUCAGGGUGGAGCGGUGAAAUGCGUUGAUAUCCUGGGGAACACCGGUGGCGAAGGCGGCUCACUGGGCCUUUUCUGACGCUGAGGCACGAAAGCUAGGGUAGCGAACAGGAUUAGAUACCCUGGUAGUC
rnacentral:rRNA from 1 species